GGGGUCGGUGGCGGAUGACAGGGUGCAACGGCCAGGGGGACAGUGGCACUUCUGGGAAGCAGAGAGCAGGCAGGCCCCCUGAGGCUCCCAGGCCACGGCAGAGAUAGUAGGACACCCUGCCCGGUGAGGGUCUAAGCCGCUAGAUGAAACCCCCGCCCCCGCCCCCGCCCCCACCCCCACCCUGGCGGUCAUGUCAUCCCCGCUGAGCAGCCUGUCCUGGCACUGAUGUGCCCUGCGCUGGGACUUCCGGAACCUUCACCUUGGAUCUGCCCUGCCCUGAAGGGAAACUCCGGGUCUGGGCUGACUCACAUCCAGGUCCAACAGGACCACAGGGGCCAGGCUCCCGAGGGACAAGGCAUGUCAGGGGCACUUGGAGAACUUCGUGGGACCCCAGCACCCACCAUCUCCGCAGGCUUAGGACGGAGCCAGAAUCCCCAGCCCUAAGUCAGACGCACCCUCCGAGUCUGCAGGGCAAUCUGGGUUUAACAGGAGAGAAUGUGCGGGCUUCGGGGGUGGCACCUGAGCUGGUCUGGGCUCUUCUGCUUCUGCGGGUCACCUCACGUCCUGCCAGCUGGGGGAGUUCUAGCUGUAGGACCCCAGAGUUCAGACUCCUCCGGUUCAAAUCUUGGUUCUGCUGCCCAGUGGCUGUGUGACCCCAGUGGCCACACCAUUUGUACCAGAUUUCCAGUUUCUCCGCGUCCUUGUCAACACUGACUACUGUCCGUUGUUUUUGUCAUGGCCAUGCCAGCGGGCGUGAAAUGGUUCAUCGUAAUGACGUAUUUCCUUUCAUCCGCCAUGUCCAGGACUGUCAUUUCAUUGUGCAAUCAAUGCAAAUUAUUAACAAGAUACUGUAUACCUUUAUACCUUUUCACGCAAAGCCUUGGAAAUCGUGUGUGGCCACACAGAUCAUCUCAGUUUGGACAACCACGUUACGAGAGCUUAAUGGACACACGUGGCCAGCGAUACGGUCACGGAAGGCACAGCUCUCAGUGCCGAGGACACAAGAGUGACCAAAACAGAUUCAGCCCUGGUCCCAGGGAGCUCCCAGUCUAGUGUCCGAGAUGGAAGAAAAAUGGAUAAAGAAGUACAUGAGAUGAUUUCUCGUGGUGACAAGUGUGGAAGAGGAAAUCAGACUGAUGGCGGCUGUGCUCUAGGGAACAACCCAGGGGGCUUCUGAGCCGGCGCGGUGCCUUCAAUGACUCUUCUACAACAGUCAUCAAACAUGUCCUGAGCCCCUUCCGCGGUGUCUGUCCGUCAGGAGAGGAGAGUAGGUUCUGUGAAGGAAUAGGACGCCUGCAGACACAGAGAUGUCAAGAAUCUGGAGUGUAAGCCGGCAGCCAGCGCAGGGAUUUCAGUCAGGCAAAAGCCCCUCCUGUCCUGCUUUAUGGGUGAGACGGUCUAGAAAUGGUGAUACCUCUUCUGAAAUGUUUGGUGAAAAUUUGCCACUGAAAGGUCUAGGCCUUCAUCGUCUUUGCUGAAAAAUUUUUUCUCUGUUACGGGGCUAUGCUGAUUAUGGUUCCCUGUAGGUGAGUUUUCAUUUUGGUGUCUUUGGAAGCUGGGUGCCAUUUAUGGCCCUACAGUGGAAUUGAUGGGCGUAGAUGGUUUCUAGCACGUAAUCCUUUUUAAUAGCUCUGGGGUCUGUAGUGACCACCUUUCUCUCAUUCCUGGCGUUGGUCAUCUUUCUUUCUCGGUCAGUCUGCUUAGAGUUUUGUCCUUUUUUCAAGAUCACUGCAAAGAACAUCUUUGGGUUUUA